rnacentral:rRNA from 1 species
AUGGCCCCAAACAGAGCCCCCGGACCUGAUAAUAUUCCUGUUGAAUUUUAUCAGGUCUGUUGGGAUAUAGUCAAGGACGAUAUUAUGGCCCUUUUCGACCACUUCCAUCAAGGUAAGCUUGAUGUGAAAUGCCUCAAUUAUGGGAUUAUUACCCUUCUGCUUAAAGUGUCUAGUGCUGAGAGAAUCCAGCAAUUUAGACCUAUCUGUCUACUCCGUUGCCCCUAUAAGCUCAUAACUAAAGUACUCGACCGUAGGGUUGCUGUAUACGCUGAUAAACUCAUCAGCCUCGCCUAG